rnacentral:rRNA from 1 species
UGAACGCUAGCGGUAUGCUUAACACAUGCAAGUCGAACGGAAACGAUACUAGCUUGCUAGUAGGCGUCGAGUGGCGGACGGGUGAGUAACGCGUAGGAAUCUGCCUGAUAGUGGGGGAUAGCCCGAAGAAAUUCGGAUUAAUACCGCAUAAUCUAUUCGUAGUAAAGUGGGGGACUUUCGAGCCUCACGCUAUCAGAUGAGCCUGCGUAAGAUUAGCUUGUUGGUGGGGUAAAAGCCCACCAAGGCGACGAUCUUUAGCUGGUCUGAGAGGAUGAUCAGCCACAUCGGGACUGAGACACGGCCCGAACUCCUACGGGAGGCAGCAGUGGGGAAUAUUGGACAAUGGGGGCAACCCUGAUCCAGCAAUACCGCGUGUGUGAAGAAGGCCUGAGGGUUGUAAAGCACUUUCAAUUGUGAAGAAAAGUUAGCGGUUAAUAACCGUUAGCCUUGACGUUAACUUUAGAAGAAGCACCGGCUAACUCCGUGCCAGCAGCCGCGGUAAUACGGAGGGUGCAAGCGUUAAUCGGAAUUACUGGGCGUAAAGCGUGCGUAGGCGGUUUAUUAAGUCAGAUGUGAAAGCCCCGGGCUUAACCUGGGAACUGCAUUUGAAACUGGUCAACUAGAGUAUGGUAGAGGAAAGUGGAAUUUCUGGUGUAGCGGUGAAAUGCGUAGAUAUCAGAAGGAACAUCAAUGGCGAAGGCAGCUUUCUGGACCAAUACUGACGCUGAGGUACGAAAGCGUGGGUAGCAAACAGGAUUAGAUACCCUGGUAGUCCACGCCGUAAACGAUGAUAACUAGCCGUUGGGGGGAUUUACCCUUUAGUGGCGAAGCUAACGCGUUAAGUUAUCCGCCUGGGGAGUACGGCCGCAAGGUUAAAACUCAAAGGAAUUGACGGGGACCCGCACAAGCGGUGGAGCAUGUGGUUUAAUUCGAUGCAACGCGAAGAGCCUUACCUGGUCUUGACAUCCUGCGAACUUUCUAGAAAUAGAUUGGUGCCUUCGGGAACGCAGUGACAGGUGCUGCAUGGCUGUCGUCAGCUCGUGUCGUGAGAUGUUGGGUUAAGUCCCGUAACGAGCGCAACCCCUAUCCUUAUUUGCCAGCACAUCAUGGUGGGAACUAUAAGGAGACUGCCGGUGAUAAACCGGAGGAAGGCGGGGACGACGUCAAGUCAUCAUGGCCCUUACGACCAGGCUACACACGUGCUACAAUGGGAAGGACAAAGAGCCGCGAAGCCGCGAGGUGUAGCUAAUCUCAUAAACCUUUUCGUAGUCCGGAUUGGAGUCUGCAACUCGACUCCAUGAAGUCGGAAUCGCUAGUAAUCGUAGAUCAGAAUGCUACGGUGAAUACGUUCCCGGGUCUUGCACACACCGCCCGU